GAAAAGGUGUGUGAUUGGGAAAAAUGGUAAGUUCAUGAUGUUGAAUUCCCAUGAGAUAAAGUUUGAUCGUGUUCUGUUCUAAUUUAAGGUGAUCUUGCCAAAAAGAAGAAAAAGCUACUAUAAAUUCUAUGAAGAAAUUCUCCCGGAUAUGGAACUCCAUGGCUAACGUUCCAUAAACUGUUAAAGCACUAUCAUAAGCCAUCUUUGUGUUGUCAAAAAGUGCUGAACGUGAUCGGCUGUGAGCGAGAAGACUGGCUGGUCCAUUACAAGCUAUUGGAAUAGUGGAGUUCUGGACGAACCUGUCUGCAGUAGGGUGAAGCUGGAAGAAGAUCUGAAAUUUAGAUCGAGACAGGGCAUCAGCCAAUCUGUUAUGAACACCUGGGAUAUGUUCGUAACACAAGUAAAAUUGAUAUGAGACGGCAAGCCAAGUCAAUCUUCAGAUCAAUCCUUUAAUGGUCAAGGACGAUGAACGCUUCUUGUUGAUGAUUUUGCAUGCCACCACUUUAUCACAAAGACAUCUAAUGGCCUUCCCUAUCCAAAGAUGACUCCAUGUGUGAGAAGCUGAUGCAGCAGCCCAUACUGGGUUUGCUGCAGUUUUGUUGAAUUUUUAGUUGAGAGAUUCUUGGCCUGCUGAGACCCUCUCUCCUUGAUGGCCUUCAAGGAGAGAGGGUCUCAGCAGACCAAUAACUCUCAAACAAAAAAUCUUAUCAACUGUGGCAAACCCAGUAUGGGCUGCUGUGUCAGUCAUAAUAAGAAAUAAUGCCAUAAUAAGAAAAUGAUGCCACAUGCGUAAAUAAGCUCUGCUUGGGGGGGUCAUGGAGAACGGUGGCACCAUCAGACGAGCCAGGUAGGAGUCAGAAAAUAAAACACAAUAUAGGUAGAUCCAGGUAUUCAGGAUGCCAAGGUAAAAAGUUGCCACUCAAUAGGCACACUGCCAAGAAGCCUAUAUUGACAAAAUCUAAACCAAUAAUGUGAGUGUGGAAUAAAAAACACUACCUACACUACCACUUGGUUGUUUUAGGUGGUGGGUAUUAUUUAUUAUUAUUAUUGCCAUUUAUAUAGCGCCAACAGAUUCCGUAGCACUUUACAAUAUUAUGAGAGGGGGAUUUAACUAUAAAUAGGACAAUUACAAAUAAACUUAGGGAACGAUAGGUUGAACAGGACCCUGCUCAAUCGAGCUUACAUUCUAUAGGAGGUGGGGUGUAAAACACAUUAGCACAGGAAUUUGCAGUCAAAUAAGGUGGGCUGCCCUUUAGGAGAGAGCAAGAGACAAGUAUGUGAGGUAGAGGUUACUCUCGGAGGCCAUAAGCUUUCCUAAAGAGAUGGGCUUAAAAGAUACAAGACUGGGGGGCGGAGCCUGACUGCUGAGCAGGACAGACGUGCUGCAAACCAGCUCCUGCAAAAAACAACAACAAUGGGGAAAAAUACCCCAAACACAAAAUCACCCACAAGUCAGAGGGCAUGGGACAAGCUGGGGAAACCCGGGGGCAUCGAAGGAACCCACAAACGAGACUCACACUGCCCGGGAUCCCACGCAAAGCACAUGGGGCCUACAUGCGG